UCUGAAAGUCAUAUCACCAGAUAGUUAUUUUUUCAGAUAAAAGAAAAUUAUAUAAAUGUCUGAAAAGAAUUACAGGAGCAAGUUGACAAGAAUUACAGGAGCAAGUUGGAGAAUGAGCCAUCCUCACAAGUAUCUCGGGCCCUCUUCAGAACACUUGCCAAAUGGUAUAUAUACUUACAUGCACAGCACAGGUGUGACCAGUCACAUUUGUGACGACAAUCCUCCAUGCACCAUUUGCCUGUCCAGAUGACGCCAUCCAGAGCUUCACUUCCCACUCACAAGCACUCAAUCUAUGCAUUCUCACACCAACAGCCGCAUGGAUUUCCCUAGCCAAUCCUUCCAAGAUUGCCUCUACUGCCACUUCUUCUUGCUCAGCAUCUAUGUCAAGUUUCCUGGUGACAAUAUCUCAAACAUGAGAACCCGUGCAAAAAGCUUACUAACUUAUUGAAAUAGAACAUAAACUUAACAAGAGUACAGACAAUAAUUACUUUGGGUAUGGCACAAGAUCAUCUAUUUGUUGCUCACGUAAGAUACAAAGGUACAUAUGAGCAUGGUCAGGUUUGACAGUAGCAUUAUGCACAUUAAGCUCCAAUUCCUCCAGUGCAGUCACCAAAGACCUCAAAAUGCUCCUUGAAGUUAAGGAAACAGUCCAUUGGGUACCAGUUGUUUCUAUUCCCAGCCCUUGAUAUGCAGUAAACCCUUCAUUCAUUGUUGGCUGUCUUACAAGUGUUCUAAGGAACAUUCUCCGGAUUGGCCCUGGCUUGUCUACAACAGUGUACAAAUGCCAUUGCCGAUCACGGGAUAGAGUAUAAUGUAUAUCUUCAUAGCCUUUAAGCUUGUCCUGGAUAAAAACAGAUCGUGAUAAAAUUCAGAUCAAAGGAUGUGAAUUGA